GUUUAAAAACAGAAGGCCAUGAUCAUAUGUUAAACAAUUUCUUAUUAAUUUGAAGCUUGUAAGAUUUGCUUUAAUCGUUUUACGUAUAUCUUUUUUUACAUGACUUUUAAAAUUGAACUGAGAAUCUAAAAUCAUGCCAAGAUAUUUUUACUUGUUCAAUAAAGCCAUCUUUAAUUCAAAUGUUUAAGGAUGCUGUUGCAGGUAAUUUUUUUUUUUAUUGAAAAACAUAUAGACUUUGUCUUUUUAGUAUUUAAACAAGAGGCAUCAAAAAAAGCUGACACUUUUUCUAGGUUUCUUGUUAACAUUUUUUUCAACCUCCACACAAUUUUAACCAUGCAAAUAAGCAUAUACAGCAUACAUUUGAAGCCUCACAUCAAGACAUAUUUCUGGAAGGUCAUUAAUAUAAAUACUAAAAAGAAUAGGACCUAAGAUGACUGUUUCAAUCUUAUGAGAGAAUUACUUAAUAUUAAUAAUAACAACACUUUGUUCAUAAUUUUUAAAAUAUGAAUCAAACCAUAUCAAAGAUCAUUUCGAUAUAUUAUACUUUGACAUUUCUGCCAUUAAAAUAUGAUUUACAGUAUCAAACGCCUUUUUUAAAUCCAGGAAUAGUGCACCAACUAUAAGUCCUUUAUCAAGUGACCGCAUAAUGUUUCCCAUUAACAAACAAGUGUGUACUAAUUGUGUCUAAAAACAAACUGUAAAGGGUCUAAAUGUUCAUCUCUAAAUGAUGCAAUAUUUGUUCUUAUACAACCUUCUCCGGCCCUUUUGAGAGAACUGGAAGAAGUCUAAUUGGUUUUCUGAGCUGCAGCUGAACUAAACUCUCUCCAGUGUGAGAGAGCCCUCCCUUUAUAUGUUUGUGUUUUGUUUAAUUUUGUGUCUGUUUCAGUGUGGAAACAGCUCCGUUCUUACAACCUCAAGUGAUAUAUUAUCAUCAUUAUCAUUAUCAUCAAUGUGUUACAAAAUGGUAGUGUUAAAUAAACAUCAAUUAAAAAAGGGUCUGAUCACUUUAAAACAAUUUUGUCCCUUCUUCAUCACUUUUUAUAUAUAAUUCUAUAGAUUUGUGCCUUAAUUUCAGAAAUCAUGACAAAAAAACUGUAUUUAUGAAUAUUUUAAUACAGCAUUGUUUGUUUUUGAUUAAAACAGGGAGAGAAAAAAGAAGAGUAACAGAAAUAAAGAUUUUACGAUAAGACUCAAGGCUCAUGCGGGUUGCCAGUUUGAGGACACGCAACAGGAGCGAGCCCAAUUGACACUGGAAGGCGAGGAGACUUACUCACUUAACUGAAGCUGCCUGUGUGUCAAUGUGGCACUGACAUCUUGAGUCCCGAGUCUGCGCAAAGUGAACUUGGAGCCAGAAGUGGAGCCGCGAUAUCAAGGUCCCGCCCAAACUCAGAACAACUCAUUAUGUUGGUGUUAAACAGCUAUGGAAAUGUAGAAAUUAAAGUUAAAGCUCCACCUCGCGAAGAUCCAGAAAAAAGUAUGUUGGCGCCUCAGUGACUUCUUCACUUAGAGAAGCUGUCAAUCUCAGCUGUCAAUCAUGACAUCAAACCCCCAUUUAUAUAGCAUCAAUUAACUAACUAAAACCAAACUUUAAAAAAAAAUGAACACUUGAACUAACACCAGCGUCAUAAAAACUGCAUAAAAUGACAGAAAUUGUCUUAAGAAAAAAAAUAUUUGAAGUGUAAUUUAAUUGACCCUUUGCCAAGAGUUGGAUUGAAAAGACUUACAUACAGCACCUUUAAAAAAUCUUAAAACUUUUGAACAGUUAAAAAAUAAAUAAUUGUUAUUUGUAAUUAUGCAUAAUAUUUCAUUAUUUGUAAACAAUAAAAAUAAAAUACAUCAUAAAUGGAAUCAAAUAUAGCAUAUUUGGAUCCAAAAUGACUUCUUUCUAAAACACUGACUGGAGUUUUCCUGCUCACAGUUGCACUUGAUCUCUGCAUUCAGAAAGAUCAAUGAAUGGCCAUUUGACUCUUAGCUAACACAAAAGAGAAGGGACCUUUGGAUUUCCUGCACGUAGUUGUAGAGUCGUGGCAAGUUAGAGGCUGAAAUGAAGAGGGAAAAAAGCACCUUUUAAAUUAGAAACUUUAAAUGCAAACUUCUGCAUCACAAAUGGACUUUCCAAUGACCAAAUGAAGCAUUCAGCAAAGUGUUGAAAAGUGUUGAAAAGAGAGUGUGCUUGCAUGCACUGAAUUGCUGUUACUGUAUUCUUACAAAUCUAUUCCAAAUCUAUAUGUUUUAGAGUCUAGCAAAAGUAAUGAUGCAUCACUUCAAUUUGGUUUUGGUCGUAUUUUGUGUGCUACAUGCUCUUAUCCGCAUUCACCAGACUGUCUAAAAUGUUGAUGAACGACCUCAGCAAUAAAUACUGUAAGUCACCAGGGAUCUGGAACGUCUCCCCUGAACUAUAUGUCAAUGUAUAGUUAGAGACAAGUAGUGGAUUUACUGUCUGCACUACUGUUUAGAUAAAAACAUUAACAGCAGACCUGUCUCUCUCUCUCUUCACCCGAAAAGAAACAGAAAGAGCUCCUGGUUCUGGCUGUUCUUGUCUGUUAAUGGUCAGUGAUUUAAAAGAAACACUCCUACUUUUGCUUUCAGUUGCAAAUGAGUAAUGGAAUAAUUGAGUGACUCACAUUUUACUAAAAGAAACCGAUACAUGGUUUCUUUUUAUAUAGCUGUUAUACAAAGCUAUAGCUACAUUGUUGGAAACAAGCAGGUCUUACAGUCAGGUUCUCUGAGGGAACAUGGACAUGUCAUCAGGUUGAGGACUACUGUAAACUAUAGUACUCCCUUCUGGCCGCCAUAAACUAGAAGGUCAGAGGGAAACACAAGAGAGCAGAAGUUCUCCUGUGAACAGCUGCCAGCUGUGCUUCCUGCUCUGGGCCUCAGCAGAGGAACUGGAACCUUUGAAGUGGUCACGGUGUGUAGGUGAGCAGCAGGCAGUGGUAAGAAGCUGCAGAGAGGAAGUACUAUAGGGAGAGAGUGUGUGAAAACACAACUACUUAGAGAGUGUGAGAGUCUGCUCUUUAAACCAAUUAGAAACCAAUUAAGAUCUUUGAUUAUUGUGAGAACAGUUUGAAAUUUAAGCAAUAUCACAAGCAAACAUGCUCUUGUUCUGAAUAUAAGUGAUUUGGCUGCAGGCAAGAAGGCUUAAUCAACGGAAGACUCAUAAAGACAAUUCCUGUUUUCAAAUAUGCUCACUUCCCCAAUACACUCUAACAACAAAAUAAAUAAAGAAAGAAAUAAAUAACACAAUAGUUUGCAUCAAUCUCUUUAAUGAAAUUAUGUUCAACCAACAAACUACACUGAGUUUCUAGCAUAAACACAAUUUAUGUUGAUUACUCAAAAAUAAUUACAUUGUGAUAGUGAUCCUAAUCGUAUACAACUUAUUUAGCAUGCAUAAAUAUUAUGCAAGUAAAAUGUUACUUGUCACUAGCACUAGUUCAGUUAGUGCUCUUGUAACCACCCACAACCUAACCAUGAGCGCUAUUCUUCAACACAAUGGUAACCACAAAAAUGAAACAUAACAGAGGCUCUUUUAAAAGUCAAACAUAAAUGCAUUUAACAGUAACAGGUCUUUCCCUCUACUAAAAAAGCACAUAAAAAUCAUAGUUUUCAAAAGAAAAAAAAAAAAAACUACAUGCGAAUACUACUAAUUUCUGGUGAGUUUGCAUGGCAACUUGAGGCCCUGAGGCCACGGGAGAAGAGUUGUGAAUGGCAGUGAAGUGACUGAUGCCGUAAAUCACAUCAUGGCAAUGACAACAUGAAAAAUGUAGUACGUCCAGAUUUCCUUCAUACUAUCCACAUUCGAAUUAUACAGAACAUACUUUUUAAAAAGUAAUUUCUGAUGUAAAUGUAGUACCUAUUCAGACAGUAUGCAAUCAAACUGAGCACUCCUAAAAAGUCUAUUUACUACAUUUUCUUAACUCGUAACCAUUGACGGGAUAAUCAUAACCAGAUGCCACAUGUAUCCAGGAGUACACAGUCCA